UACGUAGGUGGCGAGCGUUGUCCGGAUUUACUGGGCGUAAAGAGCGCGCAGGCGGUCGUACAAGUCGCGUGUGAAAGCCCCCGGCUCAACUGGGGAGGGUCACGCGAUACUGUUCGACUCGAAGGCAGGAGAGGGUAGUGGAAUUCCCGGUGUAGUGGUGAAAUGCGUAGAUAUCGGGAGGAACACCAGUGGCGAAGGCGGGUCUCUGGACAGUUCCUGACACUGAGACACGAAGGCCAGGGGAGCAAACGGG
rnacentral:rRNA from 1 species